rnacentral:sRNA from 1 species
GCGCCAGGGUGCAGGACCUGAUCGGGCUCAUCUGCUGGCAGUAUACAAGUGAAGGACGGGAGCCGAAGCUCAAUGACAAUGUCAGUGCCUACUGCCUGCAUAUUGCUGAGGAUGAUGGGGAGGUGGACACCGAUUUCCCCCCGCUGGAUUCCAAUGAGCCCAUUCAUAAGUUUGGCUUCAGUACUUUGGCCCUGGUUGAAAAGUACUCAUCUCCUGGUCUGACAUCCAAAGAGUCACUCUUUGUUCGAAUGUGAGUACUGACUCUAUUACUUCUCUCAGUAUCUCAUCCCAGCCUUCUAGCAUUUUGGAUCUAAUUUUGGUUUUGUUCAUCAAAUAAAUGAUAUUUGGCAUCUGGAGAGUCCACUGGUAAUAACAAUAACUCCCAGAGAGAUGCUGAGGACGACAUUCGCAUUGUAUUUCAUGCCUCUGCACCUAGGCUACACAGACUGCUUUGCAGUGGCACAUUGUGUGAAGCAGAUCUCUGAACGGCAUGUCCAGAGCCAGGCCUCUGGAAACACUGGUGCACUGGGAGCCUGUGAAGCAAAACUUCCGGGUUUGCACCUUCUCUGUGAGGAAUAUACACUAACUGAAAAUGUGCACUGUGCCCACUUCUCUCUUGUGUCUUAAAAUAAUUUUCUCUCAGACCAAAUUUGACCUUCCCUGUCAGUUGCCUGCCUUGAGACUGAGCACACGUCUUCAGCUUUUUUUCUGCCUUUCUCAGAAAAGCGUGUGUAAAUGCAUAAAAUAAAAUCCACUGGAAUAUGAAA